CGGGCUGUAGCUCAGCUUGGUAGAGCGCUUGGUUCGGGACCAAGAGGUCGCAGGUUCGAAUCCUGUCAGCCCGAC
rnacentral:tRNA from 2 species